GCCAACCCGUAAAAGAGAUCUAGGAGGCAUAAAUCAUCAAUAUGUAAAUUUAAGAUGAUCAGUGUUGACCUUAAAAAACACUCCAACAGAAUUCUGACCUCGUCCUUUCCACGUAGACGACACACCCUGGAAAUGAAUGAAAUUCACAUAUAUAUAGAAAAUUGGAAUGGACCUCGUGAGCCAAUGGGCUAGACCAAGUUCCAAACUCAAUGGGAGGGCCCAAUAUGAGAUAAUUUUAUAGGUAUACCAAUAGUCUCCCAAGUCUGAGUUGUACAUUAAUGUGCGGGUCGGACUUCAGAAUAUAAGUAGUCAAAUAUAGAUUGCCUCAAAAAUAUGAGGAGGCCCAAUAAGCAAAGACUUACGAACUGUCUCGAAGAUAUACAUCGAUCUAAAAUAGGUAAAGACUUACGAAUUGCCUUGAGAAUAUAAGUUAAUCCAAUACAUAAGGACUUAUGAACUGCUUUAAAAAAUAUUUGUGUGAGCCUGAAUAAGCAAGGGCUUACGAAUUCCUUGAAAGGUGUCGCAUAUAAUUUGUCGAAAUUUCAACAGCAUAUCCUCUAUAAUAUGAACUAAACCACCCUAUAAUGCAAUACAAUACACCCACUGCACAUAUACCAAAUAAAUUUGGGGUCCACUUGUCCCUCAAAUUACUCAUGACGAUAAAGUGAAAGAUAAUAUAUCAAAUUUCUUCAAGAUAUUAUAUGAAGAGAGUCUGUCAUACAUCACAAUACAUCAUAUGCUCGCACAGCUCAAUGUAUCAAUAGUGCUAUAGUGAAGUAAGUAACAUGAUGUUGAUAAUAAAAUGAAAAUGAUGAUAAUUUGGCAUACGUACUGUUUGUAAUGAAAAUAGUAUCAUGAUGUGUUGCAAUGAUAUGACAUGCAUACUUAGCAUCAAUAAUAUAAUGUAUAUGCUAGGAGAUCAAUAAUAUAAUGCAUAUGUUAGCAGUAAUAAUGUAAUGAUACUAAGAUGCUAGUAUCACAAUAGCCCCCCAAGUCGAAUACUUAAAUGCGGGUCGGACUUGAAAUAUAAACCAUUGUGAUAAGCUAAUGUAGAGGCGAUGCUCUGAAUGUAUAUAGCUUUGAUAAGCUGACGCAUUUACAUAGGGAUGGCUCAUCCAUAUCAAGAGCUUCCUUCAUGGUGUUUGGUCCAGUCAUGAAAGGGAUUAACUUCUAAGGUAGUAAGGCGUGGCUCCUCGUAAUAAGCAUCACACUGUCCUUAUCGAGGCCUUUUUAUUUUUUAUUUUCUUUUCAUUUUUAUUUUUUACCUUCUUGCAAUGGGUUUACUCUUUUGUGCAUAGGCUUCUUCCAUUGUGUUUGAUCCAGCCAUUGAAGACUUCAUCUUUGUAGGUAAUAAGGUUGGCCACCCUUCUCCUUACAAAGCGGUAAAUGACAUCCUUGCAUGAUGGAUAACAUCAUGUCAAGGGCUUCCUGUAUGGUGAAAUGUUCAUCCAUGCAAGGAAUAAUAUAAGCUCUCUGAUGAGAGGUGUAGAUAUAACAUGGUUGAAGCAUAAGCAAAACUUUGAAAGAUAGGUAGCUGUAAUGUAGAGGCAUGAUGAGCUUUCUAUAGAUAAAUGCAACUAUAAUGCAAUAACUCAUAUGGUAGGGCAUCUCGUGAAGUGAUGAAUAAAUAUAAAGUUUGUGGCUUGUCUCAAACUAUCGGAGACUUAUAAGAAGGCCUCAAAAAGACGAGGUCUUAUAGCUGAGCUCGACGAUAGUGAAGGGCGAGGGAUAAUCAUCUCGCAAAGCUAGGAAUAAACAUCAGGCAAAGUGAAGAAUAGACAUCCCGCAAAUAGCUCUCAAAUUAUCGGAGUCUUAUAAGCUAUCUUGGAUAGAUGAGGUCUUACAGCUAAGUUCGAUGAUAGUAAGAGACGAGGAAUAAACAUCUUGCGAAGUUAAGAAUAAGCAUCCGACGAGGCGAGAAAUAAACAUCCCACGAAUAUCUCUCGAACUAUCAAAGCCUUAUAAGCAGCCUCAAAUAGACAGGGCUUAUGGUUAGGCUCGACGAUAGUAAAAGGUGAGGAAUAAGCAUCUCGUGAAGCCAGAAAAUGCUCCUUUUGCAAGGUCAAACACGUCUGACUAGCUAGAAAGUUGCUUAUUUUUCAAGGGCAAAUGUUUCAAGAUUCGACAUCUUCCUUUAUUCCAGGAACAAGGACCACAAGGCACCACCUCUUCCUUUAUUCAAGGAACAAGGAAUUAUAAAACUUUGCUUCUUCCUUUAUUCAAUGAACAAGGACUCCAACAUACUGCCUCUUCCUUUAUUUAAGUAAUGAGGAUUUAUAAAAUACUAUCUCUUUUUUGUUCAAAGAACGAGGGCUUAGAAAAUGCUAUCUUUGAUAAUAAGAUAUCCAUGAGCUAUGGCUCAUCUUUGAUAAUAAUAAGAAAACCAUGAGCUAGCCUCGAUUUAUAAGAAAUUCAAAAGCUAGAGUGCGAGGAAUGAUGGAAAUCUCCUUUAUCAAUCAAGAUUUGAUAUUUGGCCCAGCAAGAUUCUUUUAUGUUUGCCUCAUAAAUAAUUGGGAGAAAUUUCUUCACAAAACUUGAUGAAUCAGCAGUAAUAAUAUGACCAUCCAUUACAUGAUCCAACAUCAAUGAAUCUUUAAUUUAGAGCAAAGCAUUUCAUCGAACAGUUUGCUUGCACUCUUACCAAUCGUAUUCCUCUGACAUGAGUGAGUUUUGUAGCCCAUCCACAACCUGAAAUGAGCUUCUCAUAAUAUUGGAAUCAACAGAGAGCAGUAAAUAGAAAUUGAAAAUUGAUAAAAGCAGCCCCAAUUCACUUUUGUGUGGGAAUUAUUAAAAUAGGUUAUAGCCUCCAUAAAAUCACAAAUUCAGUUUUGAAAUAGUAGUUGGAAUACCUCUAAAUUUGCAACAAGUGUGGCUGAAGAGAUGGAAAUUAAAAUUUAAUACCAUCUUCCUAAGACCGCAAUGCCGGUAUAUAGUCAUUUCACAUUCGUGUACAUUAUAAUUGGAAGAAGAAGUACUUGCCUUGGCCCCAUCGAGAAUUAAAUGGAAAAAUUGUCCAUAAAUUGAAGUACACAACCUGGAAAACUAUGGCAUAAUGAGAAUCUAUGACCUAUAAGUCACUAAUUUUCUACAAUUGAAAGAGACGUCCCAUGGUGGAUAAAUGGAGGCCAAAAGAAUCUGUCAAAUGAAGAUGAUUAUACAAGGCAUAUGCAAAUGGGGAAAUUGUGAUGAGCUCAAAAUAUCUAC
rnacentral:lncRNA from 1 species